GAGGAAUAGACUGUGGCAGUGAGCACGGAUUCAUUGGAGCAGGGAGCGGACCGCCUGUACUCCAGAAGGAACAAAAAAGAAGAAAACAAAAAGGUUGAAUUUUUCUAAAAGCUUUAAAAGAUUACUUUGGAGCUUCUUUUUGGUCGACAUUUCCAGAGGAAUUAAGGCUAAAAGCAGCUGCUGAGAUCAGAGCGUCACGUCUGCAUUAGGACCCUGAGACUCAUCCAAAUAAAUGCAACAAAGCCUGAGGGAAGCCAGAAAUACAGAAAUUUAGGAACUCUUACAAACUGCCCAAGAUUCACUUUUCCAAGCUGGCAAGUUCUCUGCAGAUCUGAAUUAGUAACUGUAAGAAAGCAAGUAUCUCACAACUCCCAAAACACUCACACAGGAACAAUAAACUUCCGAAUUAAAAGCAAGUACUACCUA